UACGUAGGGUGCAAGCGUUGUCCGGAAUUAUUGGGCGUAAAGAGCUCGUAGGCGGUUUGUCGCGUCUGCUGUGAAAACCCGAGGCUUAACCCCGGGCCUGCAGUGGGUACGGGCAGACUAGAGUGCGGUAGGGGAGACUGGAAUUCCUGGUGUAGCGGUGAAAUGCGCAGAUAUCAGGAGGAACACCGAUGGCGAAGGCAGUUCUCUGGGCCGUAACUGACGCUGAGGAGCGAAAGCGUGGGGAGCGAACAGG
rnacentral:rRNA from 1 species